ACCUUUGACCCAGAUUUUGGUGUUACAAAUCAUACUCAUGAUAUUGUAAUGAAAAGGGAACCCGGUGAGAAUCCGGGGCUGUACCUGCAGCUGUAAUUCCUCGUUAUGUUGGUUAAAUAUUCUAUGCCACUGUUCUUUUAGAAUGGGAAGGCUUUUAACCAGAGGAUAGCCAGAAGACCUGCCAGAUUCGACGAAUAAAC
rnacentral:ncRNA from 1 species